GUUUAUGCGUAGGGCGCUAUGGAUUGGCUCUGUUCCAAGUUCCUUGCAACAGGACGUCACAGCCCCUGAGAAUCCCGUACGUGGUCGCAUACCUUUACCGAGUAAAGCCCCUUCGGGAAGUCGAGUUGUUUGGGAAUGCAAAUUCCUUUGGGAGGUAAAUUUCUUCUAAAGACCGAUACCGGCCAGAUACCGAUAGCGAAAGAUUAGAGUGAUUUUGAGAUGAGAGUGACUUUGGAAUGAGAGUUGUUAAGCGGGUGAGGUUGUUGAAAGGGAAUGGCGCGCUUGUUCACUUGCCUGUAGUUGCUCAGUACUGGUUUUUACCCGGUGCACUCUUCGGUGUUUGGGACUGCAUCAGUUUGGGCGGUUGGAUAAAGGUCUCUGUCAUGUACCUCCUCUCGGGGAGAUCUUAUAGGGGAGACGACAUGCAACCAGCCUGGACUGAGGUCCGCGCAUCUGCUAGGAUGCUGGCGUAA
rnacentral:rRNA from 1 species